CACUAAACGGCAUAACACAUUCGUCGAUAGUCAUCGAGCAAAAGCACUCCCUUGUAAUAAUAAGUCACUCGUAGUAAGCGCGAAGAAAGAAAGAAGGAAAGAGAGCGAAAAUACGAUUGAGCCACCUCAUGGUUCCUCCAACCCAACCUCGACGAGGGUACCCUACAAGAGAGACAAGACGGCGCGCAGCUUCAAGACACCAGCGAGUGAUCGAGAAGUGCUUUUUUCGUCACUCACAUCCGCAAUCUUCUAGAGAUCUAUGUAUAGCGGGUCGAGCAGCGAUAGAUUAAAUUCAAUCUCUCGGAGCAGUUGCACCGGCGGCCGGUCGGACACUCGAGGUUCAUAUGUGGCGAUGUGCUGCAAUGGGCGUGGGGAUGAGUGGAGAGUGCUUUCUGAAUGUCUUGCUGCUGCACGGCUCGUUGAUGGUGUUUCGUCAUUCAUGAAAACAAAACUGUGUCAUGACGUAAAGUAAUGAAACAACACACCGAUGGUUGGUAGAAACUUCGGGGAGUGGUUGUGCUCUAGAGUUCGGUAAUGAGACCACGCAGGUUUCUGAAGCGGUUGGGAAAUGUUACCACUUAGCAAUUGAUUUGUGAUUUGCUUAAAAUUAUGCUAUCUAACAUGACACCGUUUCAUCGGCUUGUGAUGAUGAC